UGGGACGUGCUGUCCCUCCAUCCCUCCAGCUGUGUCACCAGCAGCAGACCUUAAAGUCUCAAGAAAACGCCGCAGCGUGUCAGAGGUGUCAAACCCAUCCAAUUGCAGCCAGGCAUCAGGAUAUUGUCCCUGGGGGAUGUCAGGAGCACUCCUGGACCCUGCUUGUCCACCUCUGUGACCUCACCUGUCCAUGCUGAGAUCCUGGGCUGCAGGGUUCGAUUCCCACGCAGA
rnacentral:lncRNA from 1 species